rnacentral:rRNA from 1 species
CUGACGAGUGGCGGACGGGUGAGUAAUGCUUGGGAAUCUGGCUUAUGGAGGGGGAUAACUACGGGAAACUGUAGCUAAUACCGCGUAGUGUCGAGAGACGAAAGUGCGGGACCGCAAGGCCGCAUGCCAUGAGAUGAGCCCAAGUGGGAUUAGGUAGUUGGUGAGGUAAUGGCUCACCAAGCCUGCGAUCUCUAGCUGGUCUGAGAGGAUGGCCAGCCACACUGGAACUGAGACACGGUCCAGACUCCUACGGGAGGCAGCAGUGGGGAAUAUUGCGCAAUGGGGGGAACCCUGACGCAGCCAUGCCGCGUGAAUGAAGAAGGCCUUCGGGUUGUAAAGUUCUUUCGGUAUUGAGGAAGGAGUGUAUGUUAAUAGCAUACAUUAUUGACGUUAAAUACAGAAGAAGCACCGGCUAACUCCGUGCCAGCAGCCGCGGUAAUACGGAGGGUGCGAGCGUUAAUCGGAAUAACUGGGCGUAAAGGGCACGCAGGCGGUUAUUUAAGUGAGGUGUGAAAGCCCCGGGCUUAACCUGGGAAUUGCAUUUCAGACUGGGUAACUAGAGUACUUUAGGGAGGGGUAGAAUUCCACGUGUAGCGGU